AUGAUUGCUAUUUCCAUCUUCGUCCAGGAGGAAAAAAAAAAAAAGCUGAAAACAGCCUCCAUUCCUAGAGUGUUGUGGGCCACUGAUUUUUAUCACACAGGUAUGCUAAGUGGUGGUGAAGCUUCCAAUCUAGCCCAUACAUUACAGUGGGCCACGUGACAGAACUAAAGGAAAUUUUACUAGCACAAAAAAUUGCCUCCCAGGGAUCCUAGCCUGCUCAUAGAAAACCAACUGCACACAUUUCACAGGCUCUCUGGUGAAGGGAUGCUCACUACAGGCAUAUGUUGCAGAAUGUCACUUCGUCCACCUCUCAGCUAUCAGGUGGGGGCAUUAUUUUAUUUACUCAGAAGAUACCGGAAGCAGAUUUCCUCAGAGGGAGG
rnacentral:lncRNA from 12 species